AGUGAACGCUGGCGGUAGGCCUAACACAUGCAAGUCGAACGGCAGCACAGGAGAGCUUGCUCUCUGGGUGGCGAGUGGCGGACGGGUGAGGAAUACAUCGGAAUCUACUUUUUCGUGGGGGAUAACGUAGGGAAACUUACGCUGAUACCGCAUACGACCUACGGGUGAAAGCAGGGGAUCUUCGGACCUUGCGCGAUUGAAUGAGCCGAUGUCGGAUUAGCUAGUUGGCGGGGUAAAGGCCCACCAAGGCGACGAUCCGUAGCUGGUCUGAGAGGAUGAUCAGCCACACUGGAACUGAGACCCGGUCCAGACUCCUACGGGAGGCAGCAGUGGGGAAUAUUGGACAAUGGGCGCAAGCCUGAUCCAGCCAUACCGCGCGGGUGAAGAAGGCCUUCGGGUUGUAAAGCCCUUUUGUUGGGAAAGAAAUCCAGCUGGCUAAUACCCGGUUGGGAUGACGGUACCCAAAGAAUAAGCACCGGCUAACUUCGUGCCAGCAGCCGCCGUAA
rnacentral:rRNA from 1 species